AGCAGCCGCGGUAAUUCCAGCUCCAAUAGCGUAUAUUAAAGUUGUUGCAGUUAAAAAGCUCGUAGUUGAAUUUCGGGAUCAAUAUGCCGGUCAUGCCUUGGUAUGCACUGGUAUCUUUGAUUUCUCCCUUCUGACGAACUUUGAUGUCAUUAAUUUGGUGUCAUAGGGAAUCAGGACUGUUACUUUGAAAAAUUAGAGUGUUUAAAGCAGGCUCACGCUUGAAUACAUUAGCAUGGAAUAAUGAAAUAGGACGUUUGAUUCUAUUUUGUUGGUUUCUAGGAUCGACGUAAUGAUUAAUAGGGAUAGUUGGGGGCAUUAGUAUUCAAUUGUCAGAGGUGAAAUUCUUGGAUUUAUUGAAGACUAACUACUGCGAAAGCAUUUGCCAAGGAUGUUUUCAUUAAUCAAGAACGAAAGUUAGGGGAUCGAAGACGAUCAGAUACCGUCGUAGU
rnacentral:rRNA from 1 species